AGAAAGCAUAUAUAUGAAUAUGCCUCAUAUGUGUAUUUAGGAACAACAACUCUCAGCUUCCUUCCUGGUUGAAAAACCAGUUGGCAUGCCUGUAGCCACACCUGGAAAGGCUCAGCCCCCAGCCAAGGCUCACUGACUGUCCUCCUGCAGAAAAUCCUCAAUGCUUGCUCUCCCUCCCCAUUCUGCAUGUCUCUCUCCAGAAGUGGCCUUGCUGAUGCUGAGCAGAGGCAGGAUGGCACGUUGCUCCUGUGUGAAGCACCUCUUCUAUGCAGCUGGAGCUUUCUGCAGCCUUCCCUUGGGAAGUCAUGUCGAGAAGGUUAUUCAUGACAGUUCUGACAGCCUUUCUCCUGCCUUGUACAAGAAAUGUGAAACAGCCCCAUCAAAAACUUCUAAUUUUGAUAAAUUAAUUGUCUCCCCGUAGAGUGACCGAUUACAGGAGAUACUGUGAAGCACGCUUGCUCAUUUCAGAAUGCCCCAAAUUCAUUAGCUAUUCCACUUGAGUUAUGAGUUAGUGAGCCACACGAAGAGAAUGUGUUUGGAAUAACUCUUUGCAGCUCUAGUGUUUUUAAAUAGGCAGCAAACAAUGUACCAUUCCCUCCUAUUCAGUUGUUUGUUUUAUUUUUCAUGUGAAAAGAGAAUGUAAUCAGCUUUCCUAUUAUAGAAAAAGAUGAGGAUAAAGUGCCCAUUGUUAAACCAUGUCUGCUGGCAUCUCCUUAUUUUCACAUAACAAUGGUUAUUUUCUAAAUCUUCUAUUUCCUGUUAACCUGUGUGUGUGUGUUUGGUUACUGUUUUUUCUACCGUGAUUUCUCUAAAGUAGCUCCCUAAAAUCACUGUGACAGCAUUUUGCUGUGUAUAUUCUUCUCUUGUUUUGUAGGCAGGGGUGGCUUUCUUGCUUGUAAAUUAUUCAAGAAGCUGAGCAGGGCUCUUACUAUGGGACCAGAAUGGAUCUGUCUAUCUCCCUUAUAUCUUCUAUGGAAAUUGUCUACUGUGAGAAGCCUGCACCACAGUUCCCUGUGCUUUCAGUGUCAGAAAUGCUACAAGAACACAUAGAGACACAGCAGUAGGUGAUUCUGCUCUAUGGGGGUCAAGUGUUGCACUCAGCCCUUGUGGAGCACUGCGGAUCCUGAGUACCCCUGCCUCAGCCCUGGCUUGUACCCAGAUAUUUUUGUUCCAGUUCCAAUGCCAAGAUAAAGACAGAGGUUAGACAGAAGACAGAAAAGCAGUGAAUUUUUGGACAGCCUCUUGCCUCUUGGCCCGAAUGGUAAUGCAGCCACGCAGGAUCAUUAAAAGCCCAUUGUGUGAGGAUGUAAGCACUCUGAUACUCACAUAUCUACUGCUAAUCCAAAGACUGUGAGACUGCAAGACUGCCUGAAAAAGAUGUGGCAAAAAAUCAGUAGGCACCAGGAGGUGGAGUAAAGACA
rnacentral:lncRNA from 1 species